CACUGGGGCCAGUUCUGUCCCCCAAACAUCAGUUAGGGCACAGACCUAGGCUGGUGAACUGUGAAUUUGUUCAGUUUGGAAAGAGACUGAGAUGCUUUGAGAACCAGCCCUCAGGAAAAUUACCAUCAGAGAAACAGAUGGUUCCUUGGGAAGAUGAUUGGGAGGCAUACUGGUGAUAAUUAUGAUGAUGUAAAAACAGAAGACAAAGUUUUGGCGAUAACUUUUCAAAUAUAUGGGAAAUAUCUAGGUGACUGGUAAGGUUGGGAGAUCCAUGAGGAUCAUCAUAGAGGUUUCAGUGAAAACCAGAAGAAAGAGUAGAGGUAGCCAAGUCCACUGAGGAGCCAGCAAAGCAGCCAAACAACUUGCUUGAUCCAGCCCAUGAAAGGACUGAUUUGUCAGCUGAGAUGCGGAGCCAUUCUACGUGCAAGCCCCUCACAUUAAGCAUGUGUGUCAUCCUUCAAUGGUUCUGCAUCAUGAAUUAUACUUGGUAAGGACUUGAAGGGAGAAAAGCACUCCCAGUGCCAGGACUAACAAGACAUCCCUCAUCCUCUCACGUUGCCUACAUCUGUGCAUCACUACACUUUUACUCUCCAUUUGAG